rnacentral:rRNA from 1 species
AUUGAACGCUGGCGGCAGGCUUAACACAUGCAAGUCGAGCGGGGUGAUGGUGCUUGCACUAUCACUUAGCGGCGGACGGGUGAGUAAUGCUUAGGAAUCUGCCUAUUAGUGGGGGACAACAUCUCGAAAGGGAUGCUAAUACCGCAUACGUCCUACGGGAGAAAGCAGGGGAUCACUUGUGACCUUGCGCUAAUAGAUGAGCCUGAGUCGGAUUAGCUAGUUGGUGGGGUAAAGGCCUACCAAGGCGACGAUCUGUAGCGGGUCUGAGAGGAUGAUCAGCCACACUGGGACUGAGACACGGCCCAGACUCCUACGGGAGGCAGCAGUGGGGAAUAUUGGACAAUGGGGGGAACCCUGAUCCAGCCAUGCCGCGUGUGUGAAGAAGGCCUUAUGGUUGUAAAGCACUUUAAGCGAAGAGGAGGCUCUUUUGGUUAAUACCCAAGAUGAGUGGACGUUACUCGCAGAAUAAGCACCGGCUAACUCUGUGCCAGCAGCCGCCGCAG